CAAGCUCGAUCACGCAAGACGCUGGGGAGGGUUGCACCAAGAGAGUGAGCGAUUAGAGAGAGAGAGAGAGACCCUCCCCAAGCCACGUGCAGCUACAUCUCCCUAGGCAUGCAUAUUUACUCAGAAGGUGCGUGUGUGUUAUUUGCAGUCCUUUCAAGUUGACAGUUUGUUUCAUGGCAUGGAAGAAAAGGUGAACGCGAGAAGCUCCGAUGGCUGAAAGCGAGGAAAGUGGCUAACAUCCAGAGCGUUUGGCAUCAGGCGAUAAUGUGAUUGGUUAAUAUCUUCGUGCGGCGACGGGGCUCGUCUGAAAGGUUUCCUCCAAAUAUGUUCUGCAGCGAAGAAGUCAGAACCUGGUAUAGCGUCCAAUCAUUUUCUAGAUGGCCUUCUAUUAAAGAACAUUUGGCUUCAUCUCUAUACACACGUGCUUGAGGAAAAG